AUUGAACGCUGGCGGCAGGCCUAACACAUGCAAGUCGAGCGGAGCGGCGGACGGGUGAGUAAUGCCUAGGAAUCUGCCUGGUCGUGGGGGAUAACGUCCGGAAACGGGCGCUAAUACCGCAUACUCUCAGAUGAGACUAGGUCGGAUUAGCUAGUUGGUGGGGUAAAGGCCUACAAAGGCGACGCUCCGUAACUGGUCUGAGAGGAUGAUCAGUCAAACUGGAACUUAAACACGGACCAGACUCCUACGAGAGGCAGCAGUGGGGAAUAUUGGACAAUGGGCGAAAUCCUGAUCCAGCCAUGCCGCGUGUGUGACGAAGGUCUUCGGAUUGUAAAGCACUUUAAGUUGGGAGGCGUUACCAACAGAAUAAGCACCGACUAACUUCAUGCCAGCAGCCGCGGUAAUAC
rnacentral:rRNA from 1 species